CAAAGGCUCGGUCCUGACUUUACUAUCAACUUUAGCCAAAUUUACACAUGCAAGUAUCCGCCCCCCUGUGAGAAUGCCCUACAGCUCCCUGCCCGGGAGCAAGGAGCUGGUAUCAGGCACACAUUUGUUAAGCCCAUGACACCUUGCUUAGCCACACCCUCAAGGGAACUCAGCAGUGAUAAACAUUAAGCCAUAAGUGAAAACUUGACUUAGUUAAAGCUAAGAGGGCCGGUAAAACUCGUGCCAGCCACCGCGGCUAUACGAGAGACCCAAGUUGAUACCAUUCGGCGUAAAGAGUGGUUAUGGAAAAUAAAGACUAAAGCCGCACACCUUCAAAGCUGUUAUACGCAUCCGAAGGCUAGAAGAUCAACCACGAAGGUAGCUUUACAACCCCUGACCCCACGAAAGCUCUGGCACAAACUGGGAUUAGAUACCCCACUAUGCCUAGCCCUAAACCUUGGUAAUAUAUCACACACCCUACCCGCCUGGGAACUACGAGCACCAGCUUAAAACCCAAAGGACUUGGCGGUGCUUUAGACCCCCCUAGAGGAGCCUGUUCUAGAACCGAUAACCCCCGUUCAACCUCACCCUUCCUUGUUUAUCCCGCCUAUAUACCGCCGUCGUCAGCUUACCCUGUGAAGGACUAAAAGUAAGCACAACUGGCACAACCCAAAACGUCAGGUCGAGGUGUAGCGCAUGGAAGGGGAAGAAAUGGGCUACAUUCCCUAUAUUAGGGAACACGAACGGCGCACUGAAACACGCGCCUGAAGGAGGAUUUAGUAGUAAGCGGGAAAUAGCGUGUUCCGCUGAAAUCGGCCC
rnacentral:rRNA from 1 species